rnacentral:rRNA from 1 species
CACGUAGGGCGCAAGCGUUGUCCGGAAUUAUUGGGCGUAAAGAGCUCGUAGGCGGUCUGUUGCGUCUGCUGUGAAAACUCGGGGCUUAACCCCGAGCCUGCAGUGGAUACGGGCGGACUUGAGUGUUGCAGGGGAGACUGGAAUUCCUGGUGUAGCGGUGAAAUGCGCAGAUAUCAGGAGGAACACCGGUGGCGAAGGCGGGUCUCUGGGCAACUACUGACGCUGAGGAGCGAAAGCGUGGGGAGCGAACAGG